UCCAGUGGCGCAACUGGUUAGCGCGCGGUACUUAUAAUGCCGAGGUUGUGAGUUCGAUCCUCACCUGGGGAA
rnacentral:tRNA from 1 species